GGUUCUCUUUGUCAACUCCCGAAUGCCCCCAACUCUUCUUCCCCGCGAUCUUCUCCACAUAACAACAGACGAUGGUGACUCCACGAAUCCUCUGAAGGCGACGAUCUCAUCUUAGUGUACUCUGCCGGCAGAGUGAUUAUGCUCCAGCACGAAACUCCCUGCCGACGUGGUUGCAUACGCAGGAGUUUCCAACAGAGGAGGAAGUUGGCUUCCCAUCUUCUUCUCUGGUGAGCUCUCUUCUGAGUUCCACAUUGAGGUUGCUACGGAAUCCCUACGGAUGUUGUUGCAAAGGCUGGCAUGUUCCCAGCAACCUCAUUUCAUCAACUCUACUAUUCAACUUCGCGUGGUUCGCACUGUUGGACCAGUAUAUCAGAGGUUCAGUCAUCUGUGUUUUUGUUCACCGGAGCUGGUGGUUCCAAAUCUAGGUCUUCCGUGUGACGGCGGUUGGAUCAGAUUAUGAAAGAGUGGGUUGGUUAAUUUAGUUUAUUUUUAUAUUUGAUUUUG